UGUCUGCUAGUCCUUUUUUUUUAAAGAUUUUAUUUAUUUGACACAGAGAGAGAGAGGGAGAGAGAGAGCAUAAGCAGGGGGAGCGGCAGGCAGGGGAGAAGCAGGCUCCCUGCUGAGCAGACAGCCCGAUGCAGAGCUUGAUCCCAGGACUCCGGGAUCAUGACCUGAGCCAAAGGCAGCUGCCCAACUGACUGAGCCACCCAGGCGCCCCGCAGAUGUCUGCUAGUUCUACUUGUUGAAGUCUCCUGUUCUUAUUUUAUUUCUGCUAUAGGAUUUUUACCAUGCUGCCUCCAACUUCCUUUAGCUUGCUUAAAAAUCACAACUCCUUCAAUAUUUCUUCCUGAGUCAAUGUCUAAUUCUUCUUGAAGGUAUAUGUCCAGUCUUAUUCCCGGGUUUUAAUUUUUUCAGGGAAAAGGAAUUAGACCCUCAUGCAAGACUUGGUUCAUUAUGAAGGGUCUGACAGCUGUCAUUAUCACCAUGCCCCCGUGGUGGCCUUGUCAGAGCACUCUGUACUGCUGUGACACCACAUUCCCAGCGCCCAACCCAGCGGCCGGCUUGUUGGAGGAACACCUGGGGGUUAUGAGUGGAAGAAUGACCAUUCUGCUUGGGGCUCAUGAUCUUAGUCUGUAAUUUGUCUUUUCUAAUUUCAUUUAUAUUCCCAAAUGUGUAUGUUUCAGUGCUCUUAUAUUUGCAAAAACACAUGCUAUUUUUAAAAUUAAGAUGUUUUUAGGAUUUAUGUAUAUAUGUAUUUUCAAAUAAUCUCUAUGCCCAGUGUGGGGCUUGAAAUCAUGACCCUGAGAUCAAGAGUUGCAUGUUCUACUCACUGAGUCAGCCAGGUGCCCCCACAUUCUGUUUUUAAUAGACUUGUUCUAUGAUUGAGUUUACCAGAAUUCUAAUUUUUUUCUUUUGAUUUUGAAACAACUUAAAACGUCCAAAAAAUUCAAGUUUCCAGAAUGGUACCAAGAACUCUGGUGUACUCCUCAUCCAGAUUUCCCAUGAUUAUCAUUUGUUUUAUUAUUUGAACUCUGUGUGUUUACAUACAGUUUUUAGGGCCAUUGGAGAGUAAGUUGCAGACCUGAUGCCCCUGCCCUGAAUCCCUAAGCGUGUAUUUCCUAAGAACAAGAUCAUUUAUAUACCAAAACAUAGUAAGCUGAUUAAAAUCAGGAAAUUUAAAAUUGACAGAAUACCUUUAUCUACUCAAUUCUACUAACUGUCCCUGUACAGCAGUUCUAUUUCUAGAGCCAGGAUCCAGCUCAGGAUCACACAUUGCAUUUAGUUUCCACAUCAUUUAAUAAUAUUUAAUCUGAUAUAGUUUCUCAGCUUUUCGGUGUCUUUUGUGAUACUGAUAUUUUUGAAGAAUACCAAUCAUUUAUUUUAUAGAAUAUUCCGCAGUUUGGGUUUGCCUGAGGUUGCUUCAUGAUUAUGACGUUAUGCAUGUUGCUAUGGUGGGGGACGCAGAAUAAGUGAUGUUGGGUCUUUAUUGCAUUAUAUCAGGAAACGCGUGAGGUUGGUUCGUCCCAUUAUUGGCCGUCACUUUGAUUGUUGGCUGCAGUGGAGUUGGCUAGGUUUUCCAGUGUAAAGUUAACUAUAUUCCUUUUUGUAAUUAAUAAGUACUUUGUGGGAAAAUACUUUGAAACCAUGUAAAUAUCCUGUUUUUCAUCAAACUUUUACCUACUAGAUCUGGCAUUCACUGAAGAUUUUUACCUGAGUCAGUUGAUGGUUGUCAAAAGGUGAUGUUCUAACUUCAUCAUUACUUAUCCAUUUGCUGGUUAGCAUUCUCAUACAAGUAAGAGCUUUCCCGUCCUCUCAGUGCCUCCCUCCCUCCCUCCUGUCUGUCCAUCCAUCCAUCCAGCCAGCCAGCUGUCCCUCAUUACUGUGGACUUAUGGAUCUUUAUUUAGUGGGUUCUAAUCCAUUGCUUUCAUUCUUUAUUUUUCAGCCCAUUGGCUAGAUUUGGUCAGUGGGAGCCCUUCAAGCUGGCUCUUGUAUCCUUUGAUAUGGUCCUCAUCAGUUUUUGAGCCUUUCUUUACGUUCUGGAUGGAGAUAUUUAUGUUCGUUUUGUACUUUCCCUGUCCCAGCUUUGAAAUCAGACAUCCCUCUCCAGUGUUCUAGUUCCUUUUGUUGGCAAAUGGUAUUUAGAAACCAAAAUCGGCACUGAACAUGCCAUUGCUUAUAGGCCUUUUGAGAAGUUCAUAGUGUUAUCUAGAGUUCAUACUCUCCUAUCUCUAAUUCCAGUCCAAAACCUGAGGGGUCGUUCCACUCUUUCCCUGUGUUACAUUUAUAUCUUCCUUCUCUAGCAGUGAGAAGUCUGGCUCCCGGUAUCGUCAAUAUAUUUACUCAUUUUCUUAGUCCUACAGUAUAUAUAGAAAGUAGUUUCAGAAUUACCAAGCAAUGUCCCUAUAGAAACAAACCUUUAAGUAGAGUGUAAGAGUUGUGUGUGCUCUUUCUGUCUUUAUACCGAGGAUAAAUAUACAAGGUGCCAUGAUCAGAAGUUGAUUGGGUUUGUCCUUUAAUCCUUCCUGUCAAGGUAAUUAUGCUAUUUAUUUGAAAUGUAGUUAGGCUCAUUUGUUUCUGUUUGUAUGCCAUUAUAGUGUUCCCCUAUCUUUCUUCCUUCCUCCCUCCAUCCCUCUCACCUCCCUCUCUCCCUUCCUUCCUUCCUUCCUUCCUUCCUUCCUUCCUUCCUUCCUUCCUUCCUGCCUUCCUUCCAACAUGAAAAUGGUUCCCAGUGUCAAAACUAUACAAAAGAUUAUACCCAGAGAAGGGUCACUGCCUCUCUUACCCCUCUCACCUCAUUCCCAUCUACCUCUGCAGGAGACUAGUCUCAUCUGUUCCUGGUUUUUCACUCUGGUGGGGUUGUUCGUUUGCUUGUUUGUUGUUGAAGAAAACCAGACAGAUGUUCUUAUUUCUGUUUCUUGUGCGUAAGGUGGCGUAUUACACACGUUCUUUUAUAUUUGGCUUUUUUUGUUCUGCCAUGUUUGCCAGCAUAUCCUGGAAACCGAUCCCUGUCAGGUGAUGGGGACCUUCCCCACCCCUUUUCACAGGUGUGUAGCACGCCGUGUGCAUGUAUGUGCCAUAUUCUGUUCACCAGUCUUCUCAUGGACUUUUUGAUUUCCAGUCGUUUGUAAUUACAAAUGCUGCUCCAGUGAAUAACCUCAUACAUGUGUAUUUCUGUGUUAUUGGCGUUGGGUCUUCAGCAUAAAUUCCUAGAAAUGGAAUUCCUGGGUCAAAAGGUUAAAAAAAUAUGUAGACACACUUUUAUUAGGUUUUACCACCUCUCUCUCCAUAGAGGUCAUAGCAUUUGGCGUUCACAGGAGCCAUGCCCGAGGGUGCCUUUUCUCUCCAGAUUUGUUAACAGCUCGUUGCUGUGCUUUUACAUUAGACCAACUAGAUAUACUGUAGGUGACAUUCCACAGCUUUUUAAUUGGUGAGGGCCAUCUUAAUAGUUUCCUUUUGCAAAUUAUCUGCUCAUAUCUUUUGCUCAUUUUGUUCUAUUGGAUUUUAGCUUUUUCUCAAUUUUUAUGACCUCAUUAUAUAUUAGAGCUCUUAGCCCUUUGUGAUAUAUAUUGCAAAUACUUUCUCUCAGAUCGUCAUUUUUGUUUUAGCUUUGUGGUAUUUUUGCUGUAUUUUUACAUAAUUGAAUUUAUGAGUUUUUAAAAUUGCAUUUGGAUUUGCAUCAUAGAGAGCCUUUCCCUAUAUCCAGGUUUUAGAGGAAUUCACCCAUGUUACUUGAACUUCUUUUCUGGUUUUCUGUUUUACAUGUAGAUCCUAGAGCAUUUGGAGUUGAUUCUUGUGUUUGGUGUGAGGUAUGGGUCCGUAUGGGUCUGUUCUGAGCUUUUUCCAAAUGGCCAUCCCGGUGUCUCAGUACCAUUCAUCAGAAACUCCCGCUCUGCCCUGGUGUUCGAAGCGCUCAGGCUCACGUCCUGACCUGUUGGCAGCGCUGUCUCUUUGCUGGCCGUCUGCAGAUGGCGUGAGGAGCAUCCAUGUCACAGGCGCUGGUUUUUCAGUAGGACAGUGGAUGUGAGUGAGCCAGUGGGGGGCCGGCCUGCCCGCUGCUGCUGGGCUCACUGCCAUACCAUGGGUGCCUCCCUUCUCUGAGCCCUGUUGCUGCUCUUCUCUCUCACGGUUUGUCUCUCUCCUGCCUCCUCUGUCUCUGCUUUAUGCCCUCUUACUUCUGCUUUGUUUUAUCUCUGUGUGCGUUGCCUUUCCAGUUUUGUGCUUUGGAUGCCAUCUUGCACAUAAGACGACCCUGUAACUCUCUCCCUGGCUCUUGAAUGAAUGAAUGAUUGUUGGAUGGAUGCCUGAGAACCGUUGUGAUGAUGUUGUUUUCCGAACUUUCCCCCCACUUCUUCUUUUCUUUUCUUCUCUUUUCUUUUUUUCUUUAUUUAUUUGAGAGAGAGAGAGAGAAACAGCAUGAGACGGGAUAGGGUCAGAGGGAGAAGCAGGCUCCCCGCUGAGCCGGGAGCCCGAUGUGGGACUCGAUCCCAGGACUCCGGGGUCAUGACCCGAGCCGAAGGCAGUUGCUUAACCAACUGAGCCACCCAGGCGCCCCCCCGCCACUUAACUAUGUCCUCUCUUUUCCUUUCCUCCUGCCUGGCCGUCAGCCUGCCUGUUUCAUUGAUUUUUCCUCUUUGUAGACUCAGGCUGUGGUCCUGAUGAUUCCUUGUUUCACUGGUUCACACUAACAUUACACGGAGGCCGUCAACACUUUGUACAUGUCAAGAAAGAUUGAAUCUAUUGCAUACUAGUUUUUUAGAGCUUGUUCUUCUUCUUCUUCUUCUUCUUCUUUUUUUUUUAAAGAUUUUAUUUAUUUGACAGAGACAGCGAGAGAAGGAACACAAGCAGGGGGAGCGGGAGAGGGAGAAGCAGGCUUCCCGCGGAGCAGGGAGCCCGAUGCUUGGCUCGAUCCCGGGACCCUGGGAUCAUGAUCUGAGUAGAAGGCAGACGCUUAACGACUGAGCCACCCAGGACUUCUUCCCUCACCUGCAGGAAUGAGGUACACUGGGAGCCUCCCUCACAGUGUGGCUGGGGGCUGUGAGGGAGAGCAUGGGAGGAAGUCCUUAGCACACAUGCUGAGUCCUUCUGCGUGCAAAAUCAUGUAUCUUGGGCUCUGCUGGUGUUGUAAGCACUCCGUGUAAACCCUCACUGCUCUGAAGGGAUGCCGUGUGGCUUGGAGAUGGAAUUCUCAGUUCUGUAAGGAUUGUGUCAUCGGGCCUUGAUGAUUUGAAUCUGUUCUUUAAAAAGAGUUCCAUGUGUAGUUGGUUAUGUUCUGUAAAUGGAGAUUUCUCCAGAACUCUUCCCCACGUGAGUCUGAUGGCCGGGGAAUUCGUCCAUUCUGCUUAGUGACAGAGGUUGGCCAGAAAUAGAAAAUGGGAGCCACAGACAGGAUACUAGUCUUUGUCAGUUCUAUUUCUUUAGUGCUGGACGAUUUGGAAAACACUUUCAUGUAGUUUAUCUUCGUUUGAGGACGCGUGCAGCCUCCUGCUAGCACUCAGCUUAGAGCCGCAAGGUAACGCGUGCCGACUGUGUCGUCUUCAAGAUGGCAAAGCUAGUUAUUACGGACACGUUACUUUUAUAUAAUGCAUCCCAUGUUCUUUAGUAAAAGUCUUCAAUAAGGAGGAAAACUUACUCUGAGUUAAUUAUCAUUUAAUGCAGUGCUUUGAUGUAAGACUUACAGGGGACAUAUAAGCUAGAAGAAUUUAAAAACGGCUUCAUUAUUUAAACGGGGUGGGGGGAAGUAUUUAAGUUUUAUUCUCUCUGUGCCCUUCUUUCAAACAAACAAAGAAGACAGAAAAAGCCAAAGAUUAUCUCUU